CUCACAAUCUAAAGCAUAUCGAUUAUACAACCCAAUUAGUGGUAAAGUUAUUAUUAGUAGAAAUAUGAUAUUUGAUGAAAAUAUCAGUUGAAAAUGGAAUGAUAAGCUAGAAGAGUCACUAAUUCAAGUUCCCAAUAAAAAACUAGUAGAUCCAACUUCUCUCUUGACUGUAGCAAGUACAAGCACAUUUCUGACAAAUCGAUCUCCUCCAAUCGCACC
rnacentral:lncRNA from 1 species